rnacentral:snoRNA from 1 species
AGGCCAAGCAAAUGUGUUUAUGCGGAGAUUUAGAUCAAGCUGGCAAUAAUAGUGCCGUGAUACAAACCUUACAGUCAAAGCCAUUAAGGACCCUGAGAAUGGAUACAACA